UACGAAGGGGGCUAGCGUUGUUCGGAAUCACUGGGCGUAAAGCGCACGUAGGCGGAUCUUUUAAGUCAGAGGUGAAAUCCCAAGGCUCAACCUUGGAACUGCCUUUGAUACUGGGGAUCUUGAGUCCGGGAGAGGUGAGUGGAACUGCGAGUGUAGAGGUGAAAUUCGUAGAUAUUCGCAAGAACACCAGUGGCGAAGGCGGCUCACUGGCCCGGUACUGACGCUGAGGUGCGAAAGCGUGGGGAGCAAACAGG
rnacentral:rRNA from 1 species